GAUGAACGCUGGCGGCGUGCUUAACACAUGCAAGUCGAACGAGAAGUGAAGACGUACUCCUUCGGGCGGACGGCUUUAUUUCGAGUGUCGGACGGGUGUGUAACGCGUUGGUAACCUGCCGCAUUCAUGGGGAUAACAGUUUGAAACGACUGGUAUUACCGCAUAAGACCACAGCACCGCUGGGUUCGGGGGUAAAAACUCCGAUGGUAUGAGAUGGACCCGCGUUGGAUUAGCCAGUUGGCGGGGUAACGGCCCACCAAAGCGACGAUCGAUAGCCGAUCUGAGAGGAUGAUCGGCCACACUGGGACUGAGACACGGCCCAGACUCCUACGGGAGGCAGCAGUGGGGAAUAUUGGACAAUGGGCGAAAGCCUGAUCCAGCAACGCCGCGUGAGUGAAGAAGUCCUUAGGGAUGUAAAGCUCUAUUACCAGGGAAGAUAAUGACGGUACCGGGGGAAGAAGCUCCGGCUAACUACGUG
rnacentral:rRNA from 1 species